UACGUAGGUGGCGAGCGUUAUCCGGAAUUACUGGGCGUAAAGCGCACGCAGGCGGCUUGUCGGGUCUGACGUGAAAUCUCUUGGCUUAACCGGGAGGGGUCGUUGGAAACUGGCGAGCUUGAGGCGAUGAGAGGGACAUGGAAUUCCCGGUGUAGUGGUGGAAUGCGUAGAUAUCGGGAGGAACACCAGAGGCGAAAGCGGUGUCCUGGCAUUGGCCUGACGCUCAUGUGCGAAAGCGUGGGGAGCGAACGGG
rnacentral:rRNA from 1 species